UACGUAGGGUGCGAGCGUUAAUCGGAAUUACUGGGCGUAAAGCGUGCGCAGGCGGUUUUGUAAGCCAGGUGUGAAAUCCCCGGGCUCAACCUGGGAAUGGCAUUUGGGACUGCAAGGCUGGAGUGUGGCAGAGGAGACUGGAAUUCCUGGUGUAGCAGUGAAAUGCGCAGAUAUCAGGAGGAACACCGGUGGCGAAGGCGCCACUCUGGGCCGAAACUGACGCUGAGGAGCGAAAGCGUGGGUAGCAAACAGG
rnacentral:rRNA from 1 species